GUUUAGAUUUCUGAAAACAAAUGACAUCCAACUUUUAAAACAACUUAUUUCAUUGUCUGUUAAGUCUGAUUCAUCUCUAUUGAUUACUACUUCAACUAAAUCAAUUUUCUUUUUCAAGCAGCAGAUGAGGUUAUUAUAAUGCUAGUGUAGGGAUUCAACAGGCUAUCAAAAUAACCAGAUAAUGUAAUCUUUAUUUCAAAAUAUAAUCUGUAUUUAAUGAGUGUCAAUUUAUUGAAAAUGGAUAAUUGUAAUAACACUACUGAAUUCCAGGACCUGAAAAUCUUUAUUCUAAAAUUCCUAUUCUCUUAUAAAGAUUCAUUAUAAAAUUUUUUUUUCCACAAACAAACCACACGAGACUACAGUUCUAAAAACAAAAAAAAAAACAAGAUUAUAAAAAGAAUCUGCUGUUUGCUAAUGAAUGGAAAGAAAAAAAGACAGGUUUCAAUAUUUUCUGCUCUAAUAGAAGCUUUCGUGGCUUCCUUCAGUCCUAGAACAACUAUGGUUCAUAACAUAGAGAGUAAAGAACUAUCCUGGAAAGACAUUCCUGUUUACAUAAUGCAGGACAUCUUGCAUUGUGGAGCCCAGCUAUCAGAAUUCAUCUACAACAAUUAACUUGUAUUCAUCAAUGAGAAAAGAGGAUGGCAAAGAAUGACACUGCUCAGGGUUUAAACUUGGUAACACAUAUCAUAUGUGUUAAAUCAAGGCUGGGACAACUCUGUACAAUAUACAACAUACCAUAAAGAAACUUAAAAUCUAAUUGCAUAAAUACGGACAAUAAUAAGCAGUAUAAUGUGCACUUGGCUCCAUGAUGCAGACUAUUUUCAAAAUUGAACAGGUUGUUAAAAAAAUUGGAUGUUUGUCUAAAAGAGGGAAAUCUGCAAACAAAUUGUGGAAACUGAAAUACCUGAAGAUCAAUAUUUACAUCUAAGAAAGAACAAAGGACAGUAUGAAUGCAACACAGUUAAAUAUUCUGUUACUGCACUUUUUAUUUCAAAAGUUUAAAAAUAAAACAAAUUGGGAAAUUU